rnacentral:lncRNA from 1 species
AUCAGCAAAACAUUUCCUAAUUUCUAAUCGCAAACCCAAAACCUAAACCCUCAAAUCUUUCCCUGAAAGGACGCUUCUACUUUCGUUGCAUCAGAAAACCUAUUCUAUAGGAGCUAGUUGCCUUCACCUGAUUCAUCAAAUUAAAUCCUUUUGUCCCAACUCCUCAGAUUUUCCUGACUUCCUUGGAGUUUUCAAAAACAUAAACUAACUCACUCUGGACUCAGUUUGAGAAAAAGCCUUUUCUCACCACCGUUGCUCCUUUGUGAUGAUGGACUCAACAUCUAGCGGAACUUCUUCCAUCCAAUAGAUCGAGGUUUCGCACCGUCGUCCCCAUGUUGCUAGUUCGUGUACUGUUUCAUUUGCUGUUUGUGGUAAAUAUUGAGAGGUAAAGUUUUUAAACCUGGUUGCUCUACUAUUUAUCUCACUAAUGGUAUUACCUAUGACUGAUCUAUCAUUCCUUAGUGUUCUUAGUUUCUUUAGGACCUUGAGUGCAUCUCCUUCUAAGCAUACAUCGCUGAAACCCAUUUCAUAUGCAAAAAUAACCGCUUGUAAACAUGCGUGUGCUUCUGCCAUUGUUGGAUCUCAAAUAUUUUCUUUUGGGUAAACACAUGACCCAUCACAAACCCUCAAUUGUUUCUUAUGCAUCAAAAUUUACUUUAACUUGUUCACCCUCUGGAGGUUCCCACUAGGCUCCUUGAUGGGCAUUAAAAUCACCAAAUACAAAUUUCUACGACAAAAUAAUAGUAAAUUAAAAUAUAGAGCAAUAGGGUCAAAUCCACAAAAACUGGUUAUCCAAUUUCACCUUUUCUCAUGACCAGAAUUACUGUCGUGGUAAUAGUUGUGCCCAUGACCUGUGCGUUGCAAUGCUGGAAACAAAAAAG